AUGGCCCUGACUGAAGACCUGCAGUUAUAUACUAUAGCUGUUGGUUUCAAGCAGAGGCCCAGAGGACUGUCUUCCUGUGAUUGAUUGGCUGUUCUGGAACUUCAGCAGAGAAUGGCUAUUUCAUUUGGAAGAAACAACC
ensembl:snoRNA SNORA2C small nucleolar RNA, H/ACA box 2C